GAUUAACGCUGGCGGCGUGCAUAACACAUGCAAGUCGAACGAUGGAACUUUAAUGAACCCUUCGGGGAGAAUUAAAGCGGAUUAGUGGCGAACGGGUGAGUAACGCGUGAGUAACCUGCCUUACACAAGGGGAUAGCCUUUGGAAACGAAGAAUAAUACCCUAUAAAACCAUAAAAGCACAUGCAAUUAUGGUCAAAGUGAUAGCGGUGUAAGAUGGACUUGCGUCUGAUUAGCUAGUUGGUGAGAUAAAAGCCCACCAAGGCAACGAUCAGUAGCCGGCUUGAGAGAGUGUACGGCCACAUUGGGACUGAGACACGGCCCAGACUCCUACGGGAGGCAGCAGUGGGGAAUUUUGCACAAUGGGGGAAACCCUGAUGCAGCGACGCCGCGUGAUUUAGAAGGCCUUCGGGUUGUAAAAAUCUUUUGUAUAGGAAGAAAAUGACAGUACUAUACGAAUAAGGGCCGGCUAAUUACGUG
rnacentral:rRNA from 1 species